AGGGGAUCUGGGCAGGGAGAGAAGGCAGGGAAAAGAGUGGACAUGUUUGGAUCUGGGUGACUUCAGGUUUGGAUGCUGCUUCCAUUUCCCAAAGGUUCAGCCUUUCUUCAGGAUACCACCACUUGGAACUGACCCUGGGAAAAGGGGCAGCAUUUUUCUACAGCUUUGCAAACACUGUCCUGCUGCUGCUAAAAUACAAAUAAGGAACACAAGGAAAUACCUGACUGAGGGUUGUUCCCAGCUUGGGAAGCCAGGAGGGGAGUAGCUGAUCAGCCUCAGUGUAAUCCUGCAGUGUUACUCAGCUUCAAGACAUGUA